rnacentral:rRNA from 1 species
UACAGAGGUCCCAAGCGUUGUUCGGAUUCAUUGGGCGUAAAGCGCGCGCAGGCGGUCCUUUAAGUCUGAUGUGAAAGCCCACGGCUCAACCGUGGAGGGCCAUUGGAAACUGGGGGACUUGAGUGCAGAAGAGGAAAGCGGAAUUCCACGUGUAGCGGUGAAAUGCGUAGAGAUGUGGAGGAACACCAGUGGCGAAGGCGGCUUUCUGGUCUGUAACUGACGCUGAGGCGCGAAAGCGUGGGGAGCAAACAGG